UUUUCAGUAUCUGGCGAAUGGUUAGCGGUAACCACACAACCACCUCCGUUUUUUGAGGUAAAUCGUUAGCCAAAACCUGUUCUUUCAUCCUACAGAUAUGGUAAGGCUUAAUUUUGUUAGCUAUAUCCAUUCAAGCUUGUUCACAUUUCUAGUUGUAAGGGGACUCGCAUCUUUGUAAUGUCCGUUUUCAAUAUCCCUCAAUAUUCCUUUGAUUAUUCUUUCUGUGUCGAAAAGGUAACUUCUGCAGAAGUGGAAUAAAUUUCAUACUUCAUUGAGAUCAUUUUGUACAGGUGUACCCAAUACUCUUAUUCUAUGAUUCGUAUGGACUCUCUACCAUGAUUUAUAAGUCUGAUUCUGAUUUCACAAUUAAUGACCAUCGUCAAAUAUAGUGUAAUCAAACCCAAUCUUGUAAGCCACUAACGUUUAUGCAGAAGUCCCGUAAAUCGUAACAAGGAGACCCCCAUUUUCUUCUAUAUUCAUUAUCACUUUCAUGGGGAUUGGUCCAAACCUUAAAGGUAGGAAAAUAGGUUACAAGGCAACAAAUGAUGAUAAUAUAUAAAAACAAACAAACUCACUUUUGUAUCGAUAGAUUAAAACAUCAAUCCAAGAUUGAAUAAGUAUCAGAGGGAGCACUAGCAGCACCCUUUUAACCCUCUUUGACUCGAAAAGGCCAGAAAACAAGAAAAUGGUGCUAGUGCUCCCUCCGAUUAAAUAAACUCACUUUUGUAUCGACAUAUUUUUUGUUUUCUUUCUGGCCUUUUUGAGUCAAAGAUGGUUAAAAGGGUGAUGCUAGCGCUCCCUCUAAUACUAAUUCAGUCUUAGACUGACAAAUUAAGAUGGUUUAAUCUGUCGAUACAAAAGUGAGUUUGUUUGGUUUUGAUGUUAUCAUCAUGUUGCCUUGUAACUUAAUUUAUCUACUUUCCAGGCUUGGACCAAACCCCAUGAAAGUGAUAAUGAAUAUAAAAUAAGACGGAAGUAUCCUGGUUACGACUUGCGGGACAUCCGCUGAAGCAUUAGUGACUUGCAAGAUUGGGUUUGAUAUAUUUAUAUUUGACCAGGGCCAUUAAUUGUGAAAUCCGAAUCAAACUUAUAAAUCGUGGUAGAGAGUCGACAUGGGUCAUAGGAUAAUAGUAUCCGGUACGCCCCUACAAAAUGAUCUCAACAAAGUAUGGACUUUAUUCUACUACUGCAGAAGUUGCAUUUUCGACAAGCAUAGAUAAUCAAAGGAAAAUUGAGCGAUAUUGAAAUGGACAUUACAAAGACGCAAGUACCCCACACAAAGAAAUGUGAACAUGCUUGAAUGGAUAUAGCUAAUAAGAUUAAGCCCUACUAUAUCGGUAGAAUGAAUGAACAUGUUUUGGCUAACAAUUUUCUUCAAAAAACAGAGGUGGUUGUGUGGUUACAACUAGUCACUCGCCAGAUAUUGAAAAUUAUAGUUGUGUGCUUAAUAUAUAAAUAUACAUAUAAAUAUUUCUACAAUAAAUAAUUGUAUAUGAUUAUAAAAUUCAUAUAUAUAUAAUAUCUUGAUUCUUAAUUAUUUUAAAUGCAACUAAAACCUGACGAAGAAAUCGUAAGAAGCCAUAUAAACCGUGGUCGUGCAGCUCAACCUUUGCCUGCCAUGGGGAUCGUUUGUCUUAGCUCAGCAUUUUCACAUUGUCUAUAUUAUAAUUACAUUUUGGUCAAAAACCAAAACUUUGAAAUCUCGAUGGAAUAUCCGUAAUUUUAGUAUUAUUCAAUAUUAUGUUGUCUUGCACACUUUAUAAAUUUUUUAACUGUUAUGGAAAGUCUGCGAUCAUCGUCUUCUUGAUAAAGAAUAUGCUCAGCGAGUGAAAAAUGACCUUGAGAAUGAUACUCACCUUGAGAAUGAUAUUUUCUCUUCGAAGCUGAUGUUUAUAAAGGAAUUAAUGGUCUUUUGUUUUGAUUUUCGCGCAUCUCCUGGAGACUUUGGAUUUUUUGGAGUGAUCGCUUCACAAGAACAGAGGAGGGAGAUGAAUCGCGGCAACACAAAGACUAAUGUUUGUAUCCAAAACGGAAGGUAAGGCUCCUAAUGGGAAACACAAGAUCAACAAAAGUGUAAGGGCGACUCGGUAAACGCCAAAUUCACAGUGGAAAGGCAGCAUCAAGUUCAGGGAAUGAUAGUGCCACCCAAAGUGCUGAAAGUGGAAAUGAUGGUUCAUCAGAUGCAAGCGAUAUUCUGGAGGCUAGAAAGGAAGCUUCCAUUAGAUGCUUGCAGAUGCAAGUGCACAGACAGAAUAACGAUUCCAAGCCAGAUGUCCCUGGGAAUCCUGUGGUUUAUAUGUCUGCUACCACCAAUCUGAAUAUGGAAAUGGACAUGUGGAACAUAUCUGCUGAAACUGUAUCUAUGAAAAUGUAACCAAAUCAUUCUGGUGUCCCACAAUCAGUGGGCCGAGCCCUUCAGGAUGAACGGGAGCUCAAGGGACAGAAGAGGAAGUAAUCUAAUAGAUAGUCGGCUAGAAGAUCAAGGCUGCACAAGCAGAGCUACAAGCUAGAGUGGAGGCAUUAAAUAAUGAGAAUCACUUACUGAGGGAUGAGCUGCAGAAGCUAUCUAGUGAAUGUGGGAAGCAUACAUCUGAAAAUAAUUUAAUAAAGGUUUAUGCCACUCCUACGCAUCCUACUUGAUUUUGCUAGGUUACGUCUACUGUUACCUCUGGUAUGUCACUUUCUUUUUCCAUAUUCACCAUGCCAAUUGCCACAACGUAAAUUAAAAAUGCUAUCAGAUGCUUAAUAUAAUAAUAUAUCUCGUAUUUAUCUCGCAA